rnacentral:rRNA from 1 species
GUGGCUAGGGAUGAAACACUAGUAGGUCACAAUGGAGAUACUAUCAAAACAAAUCUUAGAUCAACGAAUUAUCUUAGAUUAUCCAUAGAAACUAAAGGAGUGCGAUCCGAUGAAUUUGAGUGGAGAUAUUUAAGAGAGCAAAAAUUGCUUAGGUCACUAAUAUUAACUGGAAACCUCAAAAGUCAGCCUGGGGAUUCGUUGACUAUCUUCCCAAGUCUACGUCUUUUGCAUAUAGAAUCUGCAAAUAUUGCUGCACUAGUUGAAUCUAUGUACCAACUAAAGCAUUUGAGAUAUUUGGCAUUAAAGAGGACUGAUGUGUGUAGACUACCAGAGAACAUCCAUGAGAUGAAAUUCCUACAGCAUAUUAGCCUUGAAGGUUGUGAAAGUUUCAUGAAACUUCCUGAUAGCAUUAUCAAGCUGCAAGGGUUGAGGUUCCUUGAUAUGGAUGACACUCUUGUAAAUAGUAUUCCUAGGGGUUUCCGAGCUCUUACAAAUUUGAGUGCACUAUAUGGAUUCCCAGCCUAUACUGAUGGUGACUGGUGUAGUCUGGAAGAGUUGGGGUCUCUUACCCAGCUCAAUAAACUUUCACUAGAGAGCCUAGAAAAUGUAUCUAGUGCCUUGUUGGCUGCAAAGGCAAGGAUAAAUGCAAAGAAACAACUUACCUAUCUUGGUUUGAAAUGUGGUGGUAGAGUGGGAGAUGGGUUGGUCCAAGGAGAAGUCUCUGAAUCCGAGGAGCAAAUAAUUGAGGCGGUGUUUGAUGUGCUAUGUCCUCAGCCUUGCAUAGAACACAUCAAAAUAAAA